rnacentral:rRNA from 1 species
CCUACGGGUGGCUGCAGUGAGGAAUCUUCCACAAUGGACGAAAGUCUGAUGGAGCGACACCGCGUGAAGGAUGAAGGCCUAACGGCUGUAAACUUCUUUUCUGAAGGAGCAUAAUGAUAGUACUUCAGGAAUAAGGGACGGCUAAAUACGUGCCAGCAGCCGCGGUAAUACGUAUGUCUCGAGCGUUACCCGGAAUCACUGGGUGUAAAGGGUUCGUAGGCGGUUUAUUAAGUUGGAUAUGAAAGACCGGAGCUCAACUCCGUGUUUGUAUUCAAAACUGGUAGACUAGAAUUAGGGAGAGGUAAGCGGAAUUCUAAGUGUAGGGGUGCAAUCCGUAGAUACUUAGAGGAGCACCAAAAGCGAAGGCAGCUUACUGGAACUAUAUUGACGCUGAGGAACGAAAGCGUGGGGAGCGAAAAGGAUUAGAUACCCCAGUAGUC